AAACACCAUAGUGUAUCAUGUGUUACUCACAUCCACAAUUACUGAGAAUGUCUGGAGAAACCAAAGCUAACUUUCAACCUUAAUCUACUCUACUUGCUUGUUUUGCGACUUGUUAUACAUUGGAUCGGAGUCCACUUGCAAGUCUGGAAAGUAUUAGACUUAGUGUCCCUGGUUCUCCUUCCACCACUCUUUCGCAUCCAUAUUUGCAAAAUAUUGAAAUUAUUUCUUGCGGUUUAGAGGGGUAGGAAUGUUUCCCACGACCCUAUUAUUCGACUCUAAUAGAAUGAUCACACAUUGAUUGGAAGCGAGGAGUAGAUAAAUUAUCAAUGACCCAACUAUUCGCCUACAACUUUGCCCAGUAAUACUAUAUAUACUGUCUAAUAAUAAAAAAGAAAAAGAAAAAAAUUAGACUCAGAGGAGAUAGAAGAGAGAGGGAAAACCAGAAAGGGUUACGUGUAGGUCCAGAUACCUGCUUGAGUUGAUUCCAUGUGUCCCUUGAUCGAGACUCCCAAGAUGUAGUCUACACAUUUACUUUAUGCAGAAAUGAGUUCAGUAGAGGGGUAUGUCAGACGCUAUCACUGGAUUUGUGUGAUGUAUGGUAAUGGUGACUAAGCUAGAGUGUAGUACAUUGAAUCAUCCAAGGUUAGUAAUCAUUCACUUCCAC
rnacentral:lncRNA from 1 species